rnacentral:rRNA from 1 species
AAUGAACGCUGGCGGCAGGCCUAACACAUGCAAGUCGAACGGAUCCUUCGGGAUUAGUGGCGGACGGGUGAGUAACGCGUGGGAACAUACCCUUUGGUACGGAAUAGCCUCGGGAAACUGGGAGUAAUACCGUAUGUGCUCUUCGGAGGAAAGAUUUAUCGCCAAAGGAUUGGCCCGCGUUGGAUUAGGUAGUUGGUGGGGUAAUGGCCUACCAAGCCGACGAUCCAUAGCUGGUUUGAGAGGAUGAUCAGCCACACUGGGACUGAGACACGGCCCAGACUCCUACGGGAGGCAGCAGUGGGGAAUCUUAGACAAUGGGGGAAACCCUGAUCUAGCCAUGCCGCGUGAUCGAUGAAGGCCUUAGGGUUGUAAAGAUCUUUCAGUGGGGAAGAUAAUGACGGUACCCACAGAAGAAGCCCCCGGCUAAACUCCGUGCCAGCAGCCGC